rnacentral:lncRNA from 1 species
AACAAAGUUAGAUUGUGAUUAUAUACUUCAUGGAGAACUGAGAAAUGUUUUAUUAAGAUGAAUAAUACUGGAAUGAAAUGUACAGUGAGGAUCAAAGAUACUUUAUCAGCCGCAUUUCUUCCAUUGAAACUUCUUCCAAAUCCUCAAACGUCAUUGAUGUACAUAACAAAAAAACAACUCAUAUUUAUGAUACUGAUUCCAUUUAUAAGGCUCCAUUACUUUUUUAAUUAUAGACACUUUAUCCUCGCUUCCGAUUCCAUAAUUACUCAUUUUUUAAUCAGGAAAGCCGCAAAACAUAUUCAACUCCCCUUGCUAUUACCUACAUAUAUGCAUAAAUAGUUUAUGGGAACUCUUAAGUGAUAAAUAUGUUAAUAAAUUAUCGGUGAUCUUAUAACUUUAGUAGAUAUAUAUUGGAAAAUAUGAAUUUCAUUUAACAUAUUUUAAAAGUUUGUGAGUCUUCGAGUCCUUUUCUUUAUUAUUAAAUCACUUAUCUUUUUAUUUAAAUAUACAUAGAUCCUGAGGAUUUAGGAUCUCCACAUCAAUAUUCAAUAGAUACAUUUUAGAUUACAAUAAAAUUUUGAUGUAACAAAGCUGUAUAUAAAAAAAAAUAUUUUGUUAUUUAUCAAUUACAAAUAAUGGUGUAAUGCAAGUACGUUUUUUUAAAUGAGGUGUAUGAGAAUGCUACAGACUAUAAAGUUCCUAUGCAUAAUUUGGGCGCUGAUUUUGGGUUCCAUGUGUUAGUGUUUAACUUCAUAAAAUAAAAUUUUUGCAUUCUUAAUAUUGAAAUAUAAAUCUUCCUUAUUUUAAUCAAUAAGGUAUAUUUAUCCAUUAAUGUAAAAUAUGAAUUUAUAAUAUAAUAAACUAGUUUUAUUAGUUAAAAUUAUACAAAAUGCUUUAAAUAUUUAGACUAUUUUAUUAUACAUUUUCAUCUUUGCAUCUAAACAAUAAUAGUUAUUUAUUUUUCUUUUUUUCUCGUCGUGUGAAAACAUAAAGAACGAUAUAAAGUAUCGUCUACAAUAACAAUAAAGUAAAUAAUAAUAACAUUUAAAAAGUAGCCGAGAAGAUGUAGACGAAAUUUCUGUUGAAAACUUCUAGUUAAUCCGUUUCGAUAUAAUAAAUAUUGGAAAUAUUGACAUUACAUAAAUCAAUAGAAAAAGUUGCAUUAAAUAAAGUUAAGUAUCGUCUUCAAAUCUAAAUUUGUUGGAAUCCUUUUACAUACCUAGUUAAUAUUAUUUAUCAAAUUAAAAUAAAAAAAAUGCUGAUGUAUAUUUAAAAAAAAUCAAGGACAAAGUGAAGCCCUGAAUAUAGUUGAUGUAAGGUCAUAUGUGUCCAACAGGAUUCAUCUCUAGCUCGUAAAGUCAAAAAACAACAUUCAUGAAUUAAGGUAAAUACUUUUUGGUAGCCUCAAACCUGGUCCUUUAACUCACCCAAAAUUAAUCCUCUAUCUCUAUGUGAAGGUCAAAUUAGAGAUACAAGUUUGUGAAUAUUUUAGCAACUUCAUCGCAAUAUUAAAGGCGAUAUUAAAAAAUGUAGUGCUUUGAUACCACUCAGGAACUUGUUACUGCCUGCAAGUCCUUCAGGCAGCAAUAUGAGCUUGUAAUUAAAGUCAGAGGUUAUCAUAUUGAAUAAGUAUUAAUAUGCAUAUUUUUAAUUUAAUUAAAAAGUUCAUAUAAUCCUUAGCAUUUAUGUUGUUCUUGAUGACAUAAGAUUAUCCCUAUUUAAUUGUAUAAAUCUAUCGUAAAAAUCUUGUAAACCAUUUAACAACAUUUGUAAAUAUAUGUUCAUGUAAUUUUUAUUGCAGUCUUAACAAAUUUAUAUUAACUUUAUUUUAAGUUAUUAAAUUUUUAAUAGGGGUUUCCACAGAUACUGAUUCACAUUAAAAAUACUAAACUCAGACUGAGUUUGCAAAGAGGUAAAACUCCUCCAAGUCCUGGAAGCUUAAUAUAUGAACUUCAAACAAACAAGGAAAUGACUCAAAAAUUAGAAAAUUUUAAAGCUGUUUUCACUUCUACAAAUUUUUAUUUUGUGCCAUUUUUAUGGCAAACUUUUGAAGCAAAAGUUGGUAAAUCAACAAUUUUUUACACUUUUUAAUCAAUAUGUCCCCCCUCGAUUCUGAAUGAUCGCUUCAAUACGGGGACGAACAGAAGCACAACUGGCCUUGAUGAAGUCUGAGGACAUAAGUCUUGUUCGUCUUGCCCUCCAAGACGCACAAAUCAGCUAAUUCUAGGGGGUUCACGUAGAGUGAGGACGAAGUCCAGAAGUCUGCUGCCCAAAAGACAGCCAUGUUCUCCAUGCAGAAAUGCUGCACCUUCUUAAACGUGUGUUCUGGGACGCUGAGGACCAUGAACUGAGCUGAAUAUUUGGUCCUGAAGGUUCCCUCGACCUGAGCUGUUGAUUCAGCCAAGAAGAAAUCAUUUCUCCCAUUCAGCACUGCGUCUACUGUGAAGAUCUUUUUGUCGGAUAUAGACUUGUGCGCGGAGUAGAUCGCACACCCUCUGCCAUUUUGCUUGUUGCUCGGAAAUUUUUGAUCGCAUGAAGCAUCAAAUUGUAGCUUUUUGUCAGUUCUUUCGAAUGGCGCCAAGUACAAAAUUGUCAGACUUUUAUAACAGGCUAGACUGCCUCAAAGAAGAUUCUAAUUUUUGAGUCAUCACCCUGUAUAUAUUUAUACAUAUGUACUAUGCUAAUAAUUUUUUAAUCAUUUAAAACAACCCCUUUGGUAAAUCUAAGGUCCCAUCUAAACAGACUAUAAGUUCCAUCCUCUAUAGUCCCUUCCAUCAAAAAUCUGCCAAAAAAAGAAUGUGAAAGUACUCCUCCAUCACUGUGACGACCUUUUUCUCCAAUGUCAACUAUAAUAAUCUUAUUGAAAAAAAAAUAUUUUUAUAUAUUAAAGGUGCGACUUUGAAAGUACAUAAAUUAAAAUGGAAACGAUACAGAGAAUAGUAGUAUGGUUCCUGAACUAGGAUGAAACGAUUUAAAAAAAAUUGAUUUAAUGUUUAAAAACAUAAAAAUGAUUAUUACAAAUAUAUAUAGUUGGCAUCAAUAAAUUACAUUUAUUCCUAAAUACACUAAUAUUGUCAAGAACAAUAGCAUGAAUGGUCUUAGCUUCAAAUGGUGUGCAAAUAGUUUGUCCAACAUUAGUUUCUUCAUAUAAAGACUUGGUUAAGUUAUUAUUGAUGUAUUUAAAUAUUCAAAAAUUAAUUAAAAAAAUACUUGUUCAAAUGUAGGAUUAGCAUAUAGCUAAAUGUUCAUAAUCUCCGAGAUAAAGUGUUAGAGAACUACAGUAGUAUGGUCAAGAAAAACAACAUGAAUGGUGUUAAAGGGGUCUUAGCUUCAAAUGGCGUGCAAAUAGUUUGUUUUAAAUACUGAACAUAUUAACUUACUUUUUCUUUUCUUAGCUUUACAAAUUAUUUAGAUGACGAAAAAUGAGGAUUCUACAUGGAAUUUGAAGUAUGAGUAUACUACUCAUAAUUAGUAUAUUUUUCCCCGAAUAAAAAUGCUUCAUUAUUUUUUAUAUUUAUAAUUUACAUUUGUCCCUAAUAAUUUGUUGAAUCCAUAGAACUUUUUCCCCCUUGACUCAACUAGAUAUUAAUCCUACAGCAACCUCAUAUAUUAAAAUGAAUCAUACAAUACAUAAAUACAUCAACAUGAUAAUUAUUAGCAUGAUAAUCUGGAUCGUUGAAAAAGAACACCAAUUGGCCAU